UAGGGAAUUGUCGGCAAUGGGCGAAAGCCUGACCGCGCGACGCCGCGUGGAGGAAGAAGGCCUUCGGGUUGUAAACUCCUUUUAUCAGGGAAGAUUAUGACGGUACCUGAAGAAUAAGGGCCUGCUAACUACGUGCCAGCAGCAGCGGUAAUACGUAGGGCCCAAGCAUUAUCCGGAACUACUGGGCGUAAAGAGUGCGUAGGUGUUCCUUCAAGUCGGUCGUUAAAUCUUAGAGCUUAACUCUAAGGCCGCGAGCGAUACUGAAGGAAUUGAGUACUGCAGGGGCAAGCAGAAUUUUUGGAGUAGGGGUGAAAUCCGUUGAUACCAAAAGGAAUACCAAUGGCGAAGGCAGCUUGCUAGGCAGAUACUGACACUGAGGCACGAAAGCGUGGGGAGCAAAGGGG
rnacentral:rRNA from 1 species